GGACACGGAGCUGUCCCUGAGCCAGCAGUGUCCUGGGGCCAAGGGGCCAUGGGGAAGAGCCUUUGCAGCAGAGGGAUUACAAAAUGAAGAUUUCCCUGAAGCAGGGAUCUGCAUUUUGGAUCAGCUCAAGACCUCAUACUGGUGGUUUUUUAGAGAACUUUGAACAUCUGGAAGAUGAGAACUAGAGAACAUCUGGAAUGAAAUAGGACUAGAGGAAGAGUCUGGACAUGGAUCUGAAUCCUGGCCUAUGAAUGUUUUUCUCCUAGACCUCAAGGGGCAGAAAUCUCUGCUGUAAUUCCAGCUCUAGGAAGCUGACAGGGUUCAGAAAAGAAAAUCUGAUUGCUGCACCUGCAAAGCAUCCAUCCAUUCCAGGAUCAAAGUCAAGGACUACAAAAAAUGCCAAAGCAAUAACUAUAAAUUACAUACUUCAUAUAUGUAAUUCA